UACGUAGGGUCCGAGCGUUGUCCGGAAUUAUUGGGCGUAAAGGGCUCGUAGGCGGUUUGUCGCGUCGGGAGUGAAAUCUCAGGGCUCAACCCUGAGCGUGCUUCCGAUACGGGCAGACUAGAGGUAUGCAGGGGAGAACGGAAUUCCUGGUGUAGCGGUGGAAUGCGCAGAUAUCAGGAGGAACACCGGUGGCGAAGGCGGUUCUCUGGGCAUUACCUGACGCUGAGGAGCGAAAGCAUGGGGAGCGAACAGG
rnacentral:rRNA from 1 species